UACAGAGGGGGCAAGCGUUGUUCGGAAUUACUGGGCGUAAAGGGCGCGUAGGCGGCCUGCUAAGUCGAACGUGAAAUCCCUGGGCUCAACCCAGGAACUGCGUCCGAUACUGGUUGGCUUGAAUCCGGGAGAGGGAUGUGGAAUUCCAGGUGUAGCGGUGAAAUGCGUAGAUAUCUGGAGGAACACCGGUGGCGAAGGCGGCCAUCUGGACGGUGACUGACGCUGAGACGCGAAAGCGUGGGGAGCAAACAGG
rnacentral:rRNA from 1 species